GCUUAGUGGUGUAGUGGUCAGCACGCUGAGCUCGCAUUUCAGAGGUCCGUGGUUCGGGUCUCGGCGUAGGCG
rnacentral:tRNA from 1 species